rnacentral:misc_RNA from 1 species
ACAUACAUGCGCACACGAGCACGCGCGCAUAUCGCGAUCUACCCUACCCCCGCCUUCUUGCACUCUCUCACUCACUCGCUCUCCCUUUCCCCCUAAUACCCCACUCCCUGAACAGCCACCAUGACGAAGCUGACUGUUGUGUGCCGCGCCGUGUCGAGUGCGCUAGAAAAGCAGACGUGCGAGCUGACGUGCAUCGAGCGCCAGACAAUCUCGCUCGAGGCCGUGCGGAAGCAGCACAAGGCGUACGUGCAGGUGUUCAAGGAGAUGAUCGAGGACGGCUAUGACAUCGAGCUUAUCGAGCUGCCGGCGCUGAACGAGCUGCCCGACUCGAUGUUUGUGGAGGACGUGUCGAUGAUAUACAACACGUGCGCCGUGAUCACGCGCCCCGGUGCGCCGUCGCGCCGCCCGGAGGUAGACCCGAUUUUGGACACGGUGACGGCUCUGCGCCAGGAGAACUACCGCAUCUGUGAGCCGGGCACCGUUGACGGCGGCGACGUGCUGUACGUUGCGAACUCGAAGUACGUGUUUGUGGGCAAGUCGACACGCUCGAACGACUCAGGGUACGAGCAGAUGAAGGAGUACCUUGGCAAGCACGGGCUGGAGUGCGUGCAGUGCGUUGUGAAGAAUUGCCUGCACCUGAAGUGUGCGGUGACCUUUCUGUCGGAGAGCACGCUGCUGCUGAGCCCCAAGUGGGUCGACCCGGAGAUCUUCACCUCGCGCGGGUUCAAAGUGGUCGAGGUCGAUUCCAAUGAGCCGGCCGGCGCGAACGUGCUGAGCUUCUCCGCGGAGAAGAAUGGCAAGCCGUUGCGCACGAUAGUAACGGCUGCUGAGUUCCCCGGGACUGCGUCGCGCAUCGAGGCGUUCGCGGCAGAGGAGACGGCGCAGGGCCGCCCGACGCGCCAGGUGGUGCUGGAGGCGGACGAGAUCGCGAAGGCGGAGGGCUCGCUGACGUGCUGCUCGCUUCUGAGCUACAGCGCAUAGGCGCCUAACCCGCGCGAGCACGUGCCUGGUGCCCCCUCCCUCCCCCACGUGUCCUCACGGCGGCGCGCCGGGGGAGGACGUUAACCCGUUUCUUUCGCCCCUCCUCUCCCAGUCGCCAUGUGUGUGCAUCCUGUGUGCUGCGCCUGUGCGUCCACACACGUCGUGCGCUUUCACAAAAGUCACACGUUGCCUACGUGGCGUCGUCCAACCUGCACAGCGUAAAAGCAUUUGCUGUGUGCCAUGCGACCUUGCCCGUCUCUCCCCCCGGGUUGCCGCCCUCUCCCGUUCUUUUGUUGCUUUUCUCUCCCUUCUUAUUCUCCGUGCUAGCGUCACUGUGUCGAUGCGUGUGUGGCGGCGGCGGAGGGGAAUCGCGAGACAGAGAGCUUUCAUAUCUGCAUCGGAAAAGCACUCGGAAAUGCUUUGUGCCCGCUCCUCCGUGCUCCGCCCCUCUCUCCCUCCCCUCCCCCCUCACACGCGCGUACGCAGAUGUACACGCACAAGCGCACACACCCGUCUCAGUUUUCACUGCACUGUCUAUGUGUGUAUGUGCGCGGUGCUCUCUCUAUUGUUCCUUUCUCCGUUCUCCUCCUCGUUUCGUGCCUCUUUAUUUGAGGACUCGGCUGCUUCGUGCUUUUACCUCCCUUCGUUCACGCAACACACACCGCCCCUCCCCCUCUGACUUCUCCUAUCCCCCUCUCCCCACCUUCAAACGUGCACAUGGACGGCGUUGCGCUCAGUGCAUUUCUUUUUCCGGCCUUCUCGUGCCUGCAGUUUGAGGGCACCCCGGUGACGGAGGGGGUACACCUCGGCGCGAUAUCGCGCGGUCCAGUACCCACGCUCUGUGUGUGGGGAGUCGCGAAGCAGCCCCGCAUCCCCUGCCGAAUGCCGAACCGGUCCUGGUGGUGACAGGGCCAAGCACCUACGACGUGGAGAGGUGAGCGCGGCUUACUGCCACUGAUGUCGGCGGCGGGGUCCUGGGUGGCGCUGCCUCGGAGCGACCUGCGGCUGUGAGUAGGUCUUUAUCACCCAUAUGGUGGGCAGGGCGUCCACGUGACCCGCGCGUAUCCGACCGGGCCCUCACACGGCGCACUGGUGUGUGUGGGUGUGGGGGCCGAGCCCCCCGAGGGGCGGGAACGCACCAGGCGAUGGGGCGUGUGGCCGGCCGGUGGGCAGAGCGGCGCCGGCCUCGUGCACCCUGGCGGAGAAUGGCCGCGCGGAAAAUAGAAACGCUUGCCAAUGCCGACUGUUGAUUGGCCAUGUGCGCAGCGUCUUGUGUGUGGCCGUGCCAGAGGAGUGGCAGCGGCGCGUGUGCUUGUGGGUGGGCGUACAAAUUCGUGCGGCUGAAGUCUUUAUUUCGACACGUGGUGAAAGCGAUACAGAUUUACCCCCUGCCCUCUCCUCCUCUGUUAUCAUGAGAGCGAGUGAGUGCAGCACAGAGGGAAGGAGAAACAAGAGAGCGAGGGGCGCAGCGACAGCAGCGACCGUAGCGCAGAGCGAAGGCUACAGAGCUGUGCCAACGCAAGAGGAGGGGGUGGGGUGGGGGAGGGCGCAUACAACGUUCGCCCCGCUCUUCCUCUGCUUCCUUUCUACGCGCGUUCUCCUCAGAAGCACACCAAGCGCGGAACCCGCGAAUGGAAGGCCGAUUGCGGUGCGCGUGCACCACCCUCGUUUACCUUCCCAUGCAAGCACGGACGCAUACGCACGACGCAGACGCAUGAAGGGAGGGGAGGGGGGCGCACGUAGCGCUGCUGUUUCACCCACUGACCCAUUACUCACCCGGGGAAGGUGUAAAAGCGGUCGUCCGCUGCAUCCUCUCCCCUUGUGUGCUUCUUAUUUUUUUUUUUCGAUGCGCAAAGGCCAUCUCUUGGGUGUCACUUCGUCUCUCGCUCUGCCCUCCUCCCUUGCAUGUCACAAACCCCUGCGCACAUUCGCCACAUGCAG